AAGUAUUGAAGGAUGACAUCUUUUGUGGUCAUAGCGAAAGACUUGCUGUUGCUUUUGGUUUGAUCAAUACCACACCUGGCACCUCAAUUUCUGUCACCAAAAACCAAUACACAUGUCAGAGUUGUCACAGGAUAUUGAAGAUGAUUUCUAAUAUAGUACGAAGAGAUAUAAUUGUUAGGGACAGUAAGCAACUCCACCAUUUUAAGGAUGGAAGUUGUUCGUGUGGAGAUGAAGGUUUUGGAUGAAGUUCUUGCAGAGGGGAGGCAAGCUUAAUUAUGUUGCAUAUACGGAUAUACCCUUGUGCUAUUAUUCAUCUUGUACACGUUCAUCCUGUCAAUACAAUGCCAUGGCGAUACAAUGCUGUCAAUACUAAGCAGAACACAUUGCGUUCUGUAUAGCAGUUUGUGCAGAUACUCAACCUGUUACAUGGCAGUAGGGAAAGUUAUACUCAAGUAAUGGGACCUAAG
rnacentral:lncRNA from 1 species